rnacentral:piRNA from 1 species
UAAUAAUGGCAUUGUUUCAUAGGGUACUA